rfam:Trichobilharzia regenti genome assembly, scaffold: TRE_scaffold0041885
AUCCAGAUGAUGAGUCCCAAAUAGGACGAAAUGCGCGUUAUCCUGGAU